rnacentral:rRNA from 1 species
AUUGAACGCUGGCGGCAGGCCUAACACAUGCAAGUCGAACGAGUGGCGGACGGGUGAGUAAUGUAUGGGAACCUGCCCGAUAGAGGGGGAUAACUACUGGAAACGGUGGCUAAUACCGCAUACCAUCGGAUGUACCCAUAUGGGAUUAGCUAGUAGGUGGGGUAAAGGCUCACCUAGGCGACGAUCCCUAGCUGGUCUGAGAGGAUGACCAGCCACAAUGGAACUGAGACACGGCCCAGACUCCUACGGGAGGCAGCAGUGGGGAAUAUUGCACAAUGGGCGCAAGCCUGAUGCAGCCAUGCCGCGUGUAUGAAGAAGGCCUUCGGGGUGUAAAGUACUUUCAGUGGGGAGGCGUUACCGACAGAGGAAGCACCGGCUAACUCCGUGCCAGCAGCCGCGGUAAUAC